CUCACCGCCGGGCGGGGGACGCCGACAGGGUUGGGGAGCCCGAUGACCGGUCCCAUCUCCGAGGCGGCCACGGGUCCAAGGGAGUCCGCGGCCGCCGUCCCGGCGAAGGAG
rnacentral:sRNA from 12 species